CUCCCCCCAACCCCCUAACAGCAGCAGUAGUGUCACAUGUUUGAACAUUUUGCAUGAUUUCUGAUUCUGCAGUAUGUGUAGCCGUAUAGUGUGGGGGGGGGGGGGGGAGGAUAUUCUUAAUCAGUGCCUAGUAACAAAGUUGUGCAGUUAACUUCAGCUCCAAGUACUAUAUGGUAGUAAUGAAAUUGCUUUCCUCGGUUCCAAAAUACUCCCUCCCUUCACAAAUAUAGGAUGUUCUAACUUUUUUCUGAAUAUGAUGUAUAUAGACACAAUUUAGUGUGUUUGUUCUCAUUUCAGUCCGUAUGUUGUCCAUAUUGGAAUAUCCAAAACAUCUUAUAUUUGUGAACGGAGGGAGUAUUAGUUACCACUUACCAGUACUAUGGAGUAAUUUGUUUGGCAAUGGUUUACUGUGCAAAUUGUACAAAAAAGUGGUUCGUGAUUUUUGUCUAUACCCUGCCCUUUUGUAACAGUUAAACUUAUUUAUUCCUACUUCGGAUAUACUCCUUCCGUUCCAAAAUAAUUAAUUUCUAGGUUUCUCUUAAGUCGAACAUCUUUAAGUUUGACCAUGUCUAUUAAAAUAUGCAAACAUCCAAAACACCAAAUUAGUUUUAUUAGAUAUUUUCAUAUUAUAUAUAUUUGAUGUUGUAGAUGCCAAUAUAUUUUCUAUAUGCAUGGUCAGACUUAAAGAAGUUUGACUUAGGACAAACCUAGAACCUCAAAUAUUUUGGUACUGAGGGAGUAUCAUAUAAUCAUGUGAGUACAUUGUAAAUCAUGUAAUAUUUCUUUGAUCUCUUAUCCCUUGUUUUAUUCUGAGCUAGCUUGUCAAUAAGGUAUAAAAUGACAUUUUAUAGAUUCAAAAUGAAAAACACGGGGUGGUUAAUGUUAUUGUGUAAGUGAAGAAUGAAUAUGUAAGCAGGAUUUGUAGAUCAGGAUCACUAAAGGAAUUAUGUUAGUAAGCUUAAGCACUUGUUUCUUCAGAGAAUCUGCCGUUGGUUAAAACUCAAAUGUCUCUACGACAACAACAAAGCCUUUCGUCCCAAACAAGUUGGGGUAGGCUAGAAGUGAAACCCAUAAGAUCUCGCGACAAACUCAUGGCUCUGGCACAUGGAUAGCAAGCUUCCACGCACCCCUGUCCAUAGCUAGUUCUUUGGUGAUACUCCAAUCCUUCAGGUUUCUCUUAACGGACUCUUCCCGUGUCAAAUUCGGUCUACCCCAACCUCUCUUGACAUUCUCCGCAUGCUUUAGUCGUCCGCUAUGCACUGGAGCUUCUGGAGGCCUACGCUGAAUAUGCCCAAACCAUCUCAGACGAUGUUGGACAAGCUUCUCUUCAAUUGGUCUCUCUUUGCAAAUUUCUACUUCAUAGCAUCCCCAAAAGUAUAACAUGGUAUUUGGUUCAGAGUGUCUAAGCCUAUCUAUUUUGAUAUGUGAUGUUAAGAUCUUGCAUCUUUCUUUCAUAUCCCAACAAUGUGUGUAGCAGUUGAAGCAUUUCCUUGCUUUACUAAUUCUUGUUAGAGUUAUAUAUAUAGCCAUGUAACCUUUUGUAUUUACCCUAUUGUAUAAGGGUUUCCUGCAUAUAUUCCACACCUGUACAUGUAUAUAUACUGGCAUAUGGCCUCCUGGAAAUACAAGUUGCUUUCCUAACAUGGUAUCGGAGCCUUAGGUUUUUUUUUAUUCGCAUGCGCAACUCGUGCUCCCGAUCCAAUCUCCGAGCGACGGCCGUCCUUCUCCGAGCGGCGCUGCUCUCUCCUCAUCGAGCGCCCAGGCCGGCUGCUUCUGCCCUCGAGUUCGCCCGCCAACUCGUGUUGCCCGAUCCGGCCUCUUUACUGUAUUUGAGAUGUGGACUCGGCUUCGUCAGCGCUAUCCGCCUUUGGUGAUGCUUUAUGCCUGUCUGUGGUUCGUCAGGAGCAUGCUCUUCAGCAGGGUGACUCCACAGUUGAUGAGUUCUAUGCACAGAGUUCUGCUAUAUGGCGUCAGCUUGAUUCUCUCCUCAUUGCUGGUUGUCGUACUUGUCAGUGUUGCCAGGCUGUGCGGGCUGAUUUGGAGUUUCAUCGUGUCUACGAGUUCUUGUCUCGACUCCGUAAGGAGUUUGAGCCCCGGCACGCUCAGUUGUUUGCUCGUGGUCGUAUUUCCCUCAUGGAGGCGCUUUCUGAGAUCCGUGCUGAGGAGACUCGCCUCCGUGGCGCUGGUUUACUUGAGGUUUCCUCUGUGCUUGCUGCUCGAGUUCCUUCUAUGCCGCCUGCUGCACCGACUCCUUCCCGCUCGAGUGCUUCGCCGCUCUUGCCUACUCCUACGGGCGGCCAGGGUCGGUCUCGUCCUCACUGCGGCUACUACAAUAUGGAUGGUCACGUUGAGUCUCAGUGCUUCCAUAAGAAGAAACACCUGCGUAAGGCGCGAUCAUCGGCUUCAGGGACUUCUUCUUCUACUUCGACAUCUUCAGCCACCGCCUUGACUUACAGGAUAUUUUGCGACUUAAGCGUCUGCUUGCCGCUUCAGGUUCUCCUUCGACGGGUACUGCAGGUUCUGUGACUGAUGCUUCCCGCACUGAGCAACCACCCUCUACACAGUCAGGAUUGUCGAACGCACACUUUGGUUGGGGCUGGCCCUCGCCGCCGUGACUCUCAGGGUCUUUGGGAGCUAGACUGGCUUCAUGUUCCUUUUGCUGCCACCACUAUCGCCAGUCCCAUCCGCUUCUGUCACUUCAGCUACCGGCUCCUUCCAGCAGUGGCAUCAUCGACUUGGUCAUCUUUGUGGGUCUCGCUUGUCAUCAUUAGUUCGUCGAGGUCUUCUGGGGUCUGUCUCAGGAGAUGUCUCUUUAGAGUGUUAGGGCUGUAGACUAGGAAAACAGAUUCAGUUACCUUACCCUACUAGUGAGUCGGUGUCUCAGCGUCCUUUUGAUUUAGUCCAUUCUGAUGUAUGGGGUCCGGCUCCCUUUGCUUCGAAAGGGGGCCAUCGAUACUAUAUUAUUUUCAUAGAUGAUUUCUCUCGUUACACUUGGCCUUAUUUUAUGACUUCUCGCGGUGAGAUUCUUUCCAUCUAUAAGCGUUUUGCUGCCAUGGUUCACACUCAGUUCUCUUCGCCUAUUCGUGUGUUCCGUGCUGACUCCGCUGGCGAGUAUAUUUCCAAGAUGUUGCGUGGUGUUCUUGCUGAGCAAGGCACUCUUCCUCAGUUCUCUUUUCCUGGUGCUCAUGCUCAGAAUGGCGUGGCUGAGCGAAAGCAUCGCCACCUUCUUGAGACGGCUCGUGCGUUGAUGAUCGCCGCUUCUCUUCCACCUCAUUUUUGGGCCGAGGCUAUAUUCACCUCCACCUAUCUCAUCCUAUGUUGCAUGGAUACUUGGAUACGUAUCGGAUACGCGAUACGGGGAUACGCCCGAUACGUCAAUUUUCUAAAAACAUGGAUACGGGGAUACGUUUAUAUAUAGAUAAUACAUAUAUUAUU